AAUAUGUCUAUCCCGUUGCAACGGGAUACCGUUUUGCAGCAGCCCUCUUUUAUUUAUAAUUUUUUAUGAUUAGUAUUUUUAUUGUUAUUAGAUGAUAAGACAUAAAUAGUCCUUUAUGAUGCGUGACUUGUGUUUUUUUAAUUUUUUUCUAAAAAAUUUUUAAAUAAGGUGGACGAUCAAACUUGGACACGAAAACUCAUGGCUACGUUUAAA
rnacentral:pre_miRNA from 1 species